rnacentral:rRNA from 1 species
UAUAGAAGUAUCCUUUCACCUUCGGGUGACAGGGAGACAGGUGGUGCAUGGUUGUCGUCAGCUCGUGUCGUGAGAUGUUGGGUUAAGUCCCGCAACGAGCGCAACCCCUACAUUUAGUUGCUAACGGGUGAAGCCGAGCACUCUAGAGGAACUGCCGUUGACAAAACGGAGGAAGGUGGGGAUGACGUCAAAUCAUCAUGCCCCUUAUACCCUGGGCUACACACGUGCUACAAUGGUCCGUACAAAGGGCAGCAACUGGGCGACCAGAAGCCAAUCCCAUAAAGCGGAUCUCAGUUCGGAUUGUAGGCUGCAACUCGCCUGCAUGAAGUCGGAAUCGCUAGUAAUCGCAGGUCAGCAUACUGCGGUGAAUACGUUCCCGGGCCUU